rnacentral:tRNA from 14 species
UCAAAUUCGGACUCAGACGGCACGGGUUCGAAUCCUGCCAUAC